GGGGUUGUAGCUCAGGGGCAGAGCACUUGCCUAACAUGCAUGAGGCCUUGGAUUCCAUCCCCA
rnacentral:tRNA from 1 species